CCUACGGGUGGCAGCAGUGAGGAAUAUUGGUCAAUGGCCGCGAGUCUGAACCAGCCACGCCGCGUGCGGGAAGAAUGUCCUAUGGAUUGUAAACCUCUUUUGUAAGGGAGCAAAGUCACCCACGUGUGUGGGUUGGAGAGUACCUGACGAAAAAGGAUCGGCUAACUACGUGCCAGCAGCCGCGGUAAUACGGAGGAUCCGAUCGUUAUCCGGAUUUAUUGGGUUUAAAGGGUGCGUAUGCGGGUUGAUAAGUCAGAGGUGAAAUGCGGGGGCUCAACCCCGAAACGGCGUUUAAAACUGUUGAACUAGAGUAGAGGAGAGGUAGGCGGAAGGCGUGGUGUAGCGGUGAAAUGCAUAGAGAGCACGCAGAACACCGAUUGCGAAGGCAGCUUACCGGCCUCCAACUGACGCUGAGGCACGAAAGCGUGGGUAGCGAACAGGAUUAGAUACCCGUGUAGUC
rnacentral:rRNA from 1 species